CCAUAACAGCGCUGCAGGGAGCGUCAUCCGCUCCCGGGGUCCGCUGUUGUAAAAGGGAACCGCCAGGGGACGCAACUCUUCUAGUCUGAGUGAAAUACUCCAAGCGCAGCAGGUGCAGCCAGGCUGGGUGGGAGGAAACCCACAGGGAGGUUAACGAGGGCGUGGACUGUGCUCUUAUUUAUUCCUGAAUUCCCAAGAACUAGGCCACUGCCUUGGAACACAACACGAUGGCAUCUUAAUACUUAUUUUAAGAAAGAAAAAAAAUGAACAAAUGAAUUAAUUGGGACCAGACAAAAAUGAAUUGAAUUUUUGCACCAUCUACCAGCCCAGCCCCCAGUAAAGAAAUGGAGGUCCGGGCGCGGUGGCUCAAGCCUGUAAUCCCAGCACUUUGGGAGGCCGAGGCGGGUGGAUAACGAGAUCAAGAGAUCGAGACCAUCCUGGUCAACAUGGUGAAACCCGGUCUCUACUAAAAAUGCAAAAAAUUAGCUGGGCAUGUAAUCCCAGCUACUCGGGAGGCUGAGGCAGGAGAAUUGCCUGAACCCAGGAGGCGGAGGUUGCAGUGAGCCGAGAUCGCGCCAUUGCACUCCAGCCUGGGUAACGAGCGAAACUCCGUCUCAAAAAAAAAAAAAAAAGAAAUGAAGGAACAAAGUGAAUACAUGAAUUAUAAUGUAUCUGGUCCUCUCU